rnacentral:lncRNA from 13 species
ACUGUAAAGUCGUCAUCCUUCCUCUGCAUAUGGUGUCUAGUAGGCAUGCUUGUAGGCGAUGUGUCAUGUGUGCAUGCCAAAAUUGUGCAAUAGGGCUGGAGGAGAUGAUUGAUUAGGGGAAGUGGAGAGGAGAGAGGGUAGAACUGCCGGUUUUAGUCACCCUGAUUGAAGGUGACAUAAUAUCGUAUAGUUUCCGUCACCAUAAAAUAAUCGAGACGUGGCCUGAUAGCUACAUCAUUGGCUGAACGCGAUAGAGGCGUGGUUAACGCAGCAGAAAGUCCUAAAAGCAGGGUUGACGUUUAAAAGCGGUUCAUUCGCAGCGGAACGCAGAGAACAGUCUGUUUUACAUCCAUUUGAAUGACUACACAACAAAGAGGAAUUCUGGCGAAAUGGUGUCAAUCUUCGCUGUGCAUGGAGACUGACUGCCUGUUACACGAAUGCAGUAGAAGCCUAGUGGUGUUUCUGCUGAUUAGAUGUGCCAACUUCCUGUCCAUGCACUGUAACUGUUCUCAAGCUCCCAAUGGUACAACAACCUAUCACCUCUCAGAGCCCCCGCCUUCAAUGAAUUGUGAAACAGAGUGGGCAUAUCCAAAUGGAUCCACGCUGACCUUUAAAGGUGAAACAAAUGCAAAUCAGGUUCUGGGUCUGACCAGACAGUCCAUCACUACCACAGUCUGUCUGGGCAGCCUGAAGUAUACGGUGGACUGCGUAAAGCCUCAGGUGGUGAAUAAAGUAGAAUGUAACUGCACCAUGGAACCUAGCAGCCCCUCUAAUCCUGACCACAUCAAGGAUGUCAGACCAGGUAACCUCCCUCGAGGGAGGGAGGGAGGGAGAGAGAGAAGGAGGGAGGGAGGGAGAGAGGACACAUACACUCUUCUCCUGCUGAACAUACUGCUGUUACAUACUCUACUCCACAUCCAAAAAGAAAACACCAUUCACAAAGUUGGCCAAUUCCACCAUGGCUUCACCAGGGGAGAAGGCUCUCCUCCUCCUCUUCCUAGUCCAUGCAGUCUCAGCCCUCUACCCAGAUACAAUGUCACCGAUGUCUCCCAUGAUGCUUGACCCUGACCCCACGACCCCAGGCUUCCCAUCUCCGCCCGCUCGCUUCCAAGACAUGGCCAAGAAACUGGUAAUCAAUCAAACAACCAGUCAAUCAAUCAACCAAUCAAUCAAUAGUCUAUCUAUCGCCUGCCUUAACUGACCACCUCUGGGUGAUGUUACA